rnacentral:rRNA from 1 species
GGGUUGUGAGGUUAAGCGACUAAGCGUACACGGUGGAUGCCCUGGCAGUCAGAGGCGAUGAAGGGCGUGCUAAUCUGCGAUAAGCGCCGGUAAGGUGAUAUGAACCGUUAUAACCGGCGAUACCCGAAUGGGGAAACCCAGUGUGACUCGUCACACUAUCAUUAACUGAAUCCAUAGGUUAAUGAGGCGAACCGGGGGAACUGAAACAUCUAAGUACCCCGAGGAAAAGAAAUCAACCGAGAUUCCCCCAGUAGCGGCGAGCGAACGGGGAGGAGCCCAGAGCCUGAAUCAGCAUGUGUGUUAGUGGAAGCGUCUGGAAAGGCGCGCGAUACAGGGUGACAGCCCCGUACACAAAAGCGCAUGUGCUGUGAGCUCGAUGAGUAGGGCGGGACACGUGGUAUCCUGUCUGAAUAUGGGGGGACCAUCCUCCAAGGCUAAAUACUCCUGACUGACCGAUAGUGAACCAGUACCGUGAGGGAAAGGCGAAAAGAACCCCGGCGAGGGGAGUGAAAAAGAACCUGAAACCGUGUACGUACAAGCAGUGGGAGCACCCUUCGGGGUGUGACUGCGUACC